rnacentral:tRNA from 1 species
GGUGCCUGUGGCUCAAUCGGUUAGAGCGCCACACUGUGGAUGUGGACGUUGUGGGUUCAAGUCCCAUCAGGCACCC